rnacentral:lncRNA from 1 species
UUUUAAAUUGCAUUUUAGUUUAAUAUAAUCUUAAUAUUUCUAAGCUCUUUUCUUUUUUUUUUUUAGUUUUUUUUACCACACACUUCAAUAUUCACCUAUUCAUAUUGGGAUCAACCGAGUUUCAUCUCGUAAAAGUGCAUGGACAAUUAACAUCGCAUCCAUUCACAAAUUCUUUGGAGAAACAAGUUACAUUAUCGAAACAGAAGAACAUCAUCGAAUCCCAUCACGUGCAGACGCAUUGCAAUACAGGCCAGGAAAGUUCAUAGAUGAACAACGGAGAUAGUUGUCGGAAGUAAGCUAUAAUUUGGAAUUGUCUAAUUGUCUCAUAACGCUCCAAAGAUUCACGGAAACGGGGGCGAGUAAUCCUGAAUAUCUCAUGAAACUCUUGGCCCCUCAAAGCAUCCAAGGAGAACUGGUUUUAAACUCAUCAUCAUCACCUAGCUGUUCACGAUACAACAUUCCAAAAUAAUCAAAUGUCCCUGAAAACGACAAAACAUCGAUGAAUCAAUAUAUUAAUCAAAGAUAUAACAGAAAAUGGAAUUUGAAAAAAUGGUGAAUUAUUGCAGAGACCUACUUUCAUCGCCCUUCUUAAAGUUGCUCACGCGCAACAUCCUUGUUA